UGAGAUACCGGGCUCGAUACGGCUUAUGCUGUCAGUGGCCCUGAUAAACCCAACAAAGAAGGAAGUAGAAGAGGAUGGUUGGAAGGUACAUUUUAAUUGAUGGGUUUACGCUUCAAGGAAGAGGAAUUAAGGUUCCCGGCUGCUCGUGGUCUUGAAGGGGAAGUCCAGAAGGGCUAAAGCUUAGGGAGGUUGAAGACCAGGAUAUAUUCUCCAACACCAAAUUGGCCAUUUCCCCACCGAGACAGGAUGACCCAAAAAGAAAGAAAAAACUUUCAUCAUUCAACACUUUCACCAUCAUUCAUACAUAAUCACUGUCUUUGCAGAGGCACUCAGAUACGACAGUUUAGAUGCCCCUCCAAACUGCCAAUAUUCCAAACCCCUCCUUUAAAGUGCAGGCACUGUACUUAGUUAAUAUUCAAUAUUUCUCUUUCUUAUUUUAAACCAAAACAAGUAUAGUAAUUUAGCUGAAAUAUUAUACAGAAUGUAUUUACCUAAAU